rnacentral:rRNA from 1 species
CUACGGGAGGCUGCAGUGGGGAAUAUUGCGCAAUGGAGGAAACUCUGACGCAGCCAUGCCGCGUGAGUGAAGAAGGCCUUAGGGUUGUAAAGCUCUUUCAGAUGUGAUGAUGAUGACAGUAGCAUCAGAAGAAGUUCCGGCUAACUUCGUGCCAGCAGCCGCGGUAAUACGAAGGGAACUAGCGUUGUUCGGAUUUACUGGGCGUAAAGAGCAUGUAGGCGGAUUGGUCAGUUGGGGGUGAAAGCCCGGAGCUCAACUCCGGAACUGCCUUCAAUACUGCCAGUCUAGAGUCCGUAAGGGGGUGGUGGAAUUCCGAGUGUAGAGGUGAAAUUCGUAGAUAUUCGGAGGAACACCAGUGGCGAAGGCGACCACCUGGUACGGUACUGACGCUGAGAUGCGAAAGCGUGGGGAGCAAACAGGAUUAGAUACCCGGGUAGUC